AUUGAACGCUGGCGGAAUGCUUUACACAUGCAAGUCGAACGGCAGCACGGGGGCAGCCCUGGUGGCGAGUGGCGAACGGGUGAGUAAUACAUCGGAACGUGCCCGGUCGUGGGGGAUAACGUAGCGAAAGUUACGCUAAUACCGCAUACGAUCUGAGGAUGAAAGCGGGGGACCUUCGGGCCUCGCGCGAUCGGAGCGGCCGAUGUCAGAUUAGGUAGUUGGUGGGGUAAAGGCCUACCAAGCCGACGAUCUGUAGCUGGUCUGAGAGGACGACCAGCCACACGGGGACUGAGACACGGCCCAAACCCCUACGGGAGGCAGGAGUGGGGAAUUUUGGAAAAGGGGCGCAAGCCUGAUCCAGCCAUUCCGCGGGAAGGACGAAGGCCUUGGGUUUGUAAACUUCUUUUGUACGGAACGAAAAGGCUCUGGCUAAUCCCUGGGGCUCAUGACGGUACCGAAAGAAUAAGCACCGGCUAACUACGU
rnacentral:rRNA from 1 species